UACAACUUGCGAAAUGCGAAAUCGCGAACGAAAGUUAUGAAACAAAGUCGCGUUAGAGUUUCGACAUUUCGCAAGUUGAGAAUGAAAUAACUAUCGGCUAUCGCAUUUAAUUCUCUACCUCUCUGGUGGCUGGUGCUGGACUAUUCGUGGUGGCUGGUGCAUUUGCUUCUCUGCAUAAACUCUAUUUCCUAAAUUUGGUGCUCUAGAAAAGUCCAUGGGUACUGAGAGAUAGUACGAAUCCUGAAAUAUAUUUUGAAGGAUUAGAACAACUACAUGACUGAGCUAAAUGAAGCUUUAGUUCCUGACACUGCAGAACAUCUAGUUGAGCAAAUAUUACCACCUCGCGAUUCUAAAGGGCGUAAGAAUCGAUAUGAUGUAUGGAAUCACUUUAUUGAGGAGCCAAAGCCCAACAUAGAUAAGAGAGCUAAGUGUAACCAUUGUAGUACAUUGAUUAUGUUUGAGAAUGGAACAAGUGCUAUGCAAAACCAUUUACGUAGAUGCAAAGGUAUAUCAAAUAAAAUGGUGAGCAAGAAAAAAAAAUCAAACUAAUCUAAAACCAUGGUUUCUUCCCCUUCAUUGGCUAGGCCCAAAAUUGACCAACAAGCAUUGAGAAUUGCAAUUGUCAAAAUGUUUGUGACAAUGGAUCUCCCCUUUCGAUGUAUCAAGCAUGAAGUUUUUCAUGACUUU